rnacentral:lncRNA from 1 species
AAGUGUAUGCUUCUUAUUACCUGCCCUGAAUAGUCAGUUACUAGAAACUCAGAAUGAUACCAAGCAAAGCUAAGAUUAAUCAGUAGCACAAAUAUUCACAACUCCUCUAUUGUAGAUCUGAUGGUGCAUUUAAGGUUGGAUUUGAAAAUGUGAUUGCAACUCAGGUUCCCAGAAUGAGACAUCUUUAUCUACUCUGAGGUCUGAAAAAGCAUCUUCCUGCAGGAUAGAGGCAUCUGUCCUCAGCUGAAAAAAAACGUCUCCAGCUGACUAUUUGCAAGAUCAAAUUCUUCAGCAGGGAUUUCAUAAAUGACUCCAACACAAAAGACACUCGCAAUAUGAAGAAGACAUUAAGCAACCUGAAAAAAAAAUAUUUUUUAAAAGAGAAAAUAUGCAAAUGUAUAGAAUAUUUUCUGUUCAUUUUUACUAGAUCCUUUCUAUGCUAUUCCAGUGUGAACUACCCUGAGGGGCUGAAAAUGACAGGGUUGAACAGAGAUAAGAAGGACUGUGCUUAAAAUAAAUGCUGUGAGUUCAGCUUAUAAAGCUGCAAAGCAUGAAAGCUGGGAGAGCUAGCAGGAGAAAUGUAUGGAAAUGUAAUUUCAUCUUGUAUUACAAAUCUAACUGGAAAAUUUUACAACCAAAGCAGAAGAGACAUUGUCUCCAAGAGGACUGUAAUUAUCUGGAGGAGAAAGAGGGCCAAAAAUUAUGAUCCAGUUCAUGGAUGAAGAAAGAAUGCAAAGGACUAACUCACAGGAAGGAAAUUUCAUACCUAAUUCUCUGGACCAAGAAGGGUUUGGAAUUAUGAGGAUCUUGGCUACACAGGAGCCCCCUGUGUCUGCUUUCACUGAAAAAGAAGAGACAGGGCAUCUUGCUCCAGGUCUGCUACUAAAAACUUUGGAAGAGAUGGAAUGGAGUGAGUGAUAUUCUCCUGAGCUAGCUGCUGAUCCUGGGCAUAAGAUAGUGCUCUGAGGGGGAGCUUGACUGGUCCUUGGCUUAAGUCUUAGGAAAAUGAAUAUUCAUCUAAAGAAUUUUGGAUCUCCGUGGUCACUAACACUUUUCUCACUUCUCUGUGAAGAACAGCUGUAGAAAUUAUCGGGUCUGCCAGUACUUGGGGAGAGCCCCUCUGUAUUCCAGGCCUUUCAGUCUCCCCCCUGCAGUUUUUAUCCUUUUGACCACGGCCAUAUCUUGUUUCUGGAAGUAGAAUGAGCUGUGAAAGGAAAAAAGAAAAAGGAAAAAAGAAAAUAAUAAUAAAAAAAAAGCUGGUGCAGCA